GGGAACAUAUUCUACAUGGUUAUUUGGGUGGGGAAUAAUUUUCUUUAGAACUGCUUUCUUCCUUAACUCUGAAUAAAAAGGGAACAAUACGUUCUCUUCAAAGACACAAGAAAAAACACAGAGAACUCUUCUCCUUUCUUUUCAAAAAAAAAAAACCCACGGAGGUCACUUAGUUUAUGGAAUCAAAAAAAUUUAUUUCCAAAGUGAAAUAGAAUCGGCGUGGAGUAAUUUCUGUCACACAAAUUUCAACGAUCUUCCGCAACUGUUAACAGACAUGACUGAAUAGGGACAAACUCGAAUUACUCCAAAUGGGAGUUCUCAAAGUCGAGGAAGAGGACAACGUAGAAGGAUAUGUCGUCGUAGGACUUAUUUCUAUCAUGAUUCAGACUCGGAGCCUGAAGUCAUCAGGAAUAUCCCAAGAGUGAGGUAAAAUGAGUUAAGGGAUCGAAUGACUGAAUAAAAGGAAAGAGAAAAGAAAUUUAGGGAGUUUAAAGAAUUAAAAAUGGUCCCUAAUGCUUCCAUUCCUGAACAUGUAUAUAUUUUUCAGUUAAAAAGAAUUGAAUUGUCUAAUUACAUGGAGAUUACAGAUUGGGAAGCGUUAGCUAUUUUAGCGAACUUUCUUCGAGAGCCUUGGGGUUUGACCUAGCACACAUUUUAGUGUAUAUGUGCAAGCGUUAGUAUUCAGUUGGUAUAUGUAUGUAUUCAGUUAGUAUUCAGUUGGUAUAUGUAUGUCCUAGCAAACAUGUAAAUCGUUUAUGUGUUUUAUUUUAAUGAAAUUUAAUUUUUUUUGUUGUU